rnacentral:rRNA from 1 species
UAAAGUCUGGCCUGCCCACUGACACAAGUAGUUAAAGAGCCGCGGUACUCUGACCGUGCAAAGGUAGCAUAAUCAUUAGCUUCUUAAUUAGAAACUCGUAUGAAUGGUUGAACAAAAGAAGAGCUGUCUCUGGUAUAAAAGUAGAAUUUAACUUUUAAGUGAAAAGGCUUAAAUUAUUCAGGGGGACGAUAAGACCCUAUAAAGC